UACGUAGGGUGCGAGCGUUGUCCGGAAUUAUUGGGCGUAAAGAGCUCGUAGGCGGUUUGUCACGUCUGCUGUGAAAUCCCGAGGCUCAACCUCGGACUUGCAGUGGGUACGGGCAGACUAGAGUGUGGUAGGGGAGACUGGAAUUCCUGGUGUAGCGGUGGAAUGCGCAGAUAUCAGGAGGAACACCGAUGGCGAAGGCAGGUCUCUGGGCCAUUACUGACACUGAGAAGCGAAAGCAUGGGGAGCGAACAGG
rnacentral:rRNA from 1 species